UACGGGGGGUGCGAGCGUUGUCCGGAAUCAUUGGGCGUAAAGGGCGCGUAGGUGGCCCGGUCAGUCUUUGGUGAAAGCGCGGGGCUCAACCCUGCGUCGGCCAGGGAUACUGCCGCGGCUCGAGCACUGUAGAGGCAGGCGGAAUUCCGGGUGUAGCGGUGGAAUGCGUAGAGAUCCGGAAGAACACCGGUGGCGAAAGCGGCUCACUGGACCACAACUGACGCUGAUGCGCGAAAGCUAGGGGAGCAAACAGGG
rnacentral:rRNA from 1 species